rnacentral:rRNA from 1 species
CGGUUGAUCCUGCCGGAGGCCACUGCUAUUGGGAUUCGAUUAAGCCAUGCGAGUCGAGAGGGUUCGGCCCUCGGCAGACUGCUCAGUAACACGUGGAUAACUUACCCUUAGGUGGAGGAUAAUCUCGGGAAACUGAGAAUAAUACUCCAUAGAUCUAGGCUGCUGGAAUGCAUCUAGAUCAAAAGCUCCGGCGCCUAAGGAUAGGUCUGCGGACUAUCAGGUUGUAGUCAGGGUAAAGACCUGACUAGCCUACGACGGAUAUGGGUUGUGAGAGCAAUAGCCCAGAGACGAUAUCUGAGACACGAUAUCGGGCCCUACGGGGCGCAGCAGGCGCGAAACCUUCACAAUGUGCGAAAGCGCGAUGAGGGGAUCCCAAGUGCUUGCACUUAAGUGUAAGCUGUUUCUUUGUUUAAAAUGCAGAGAGAGUAAGGGCUGGGUAAGACGGGUGCCAGCCGCCGCGGUAAUACCUGCAGCUCAAGUGGUGGCCGCUAUUAUUGGGCCUAAAACGUCCGUAGCCUGUUUAGUAAAUGCUUGGGUAAAUUGUGUAGCUUAACUAUACGAAUACCGGGUAGACUGCUAAACUUGGGACCGGGAGAGGCUAGAGGUACUCCUGGGGUAGAGGUGAAAUUCUGUAAUCCUGGGGGGACCACCAGUGGCGAAGGCGUCUAGCUAGAACGGGUCUGACGGUGAGGGACGAAACCCUGGGGCGCGAACCGGAUUAGAUACCCGGGUANUCAGGC